AUUGAACGCUGGCGGCAGGCCUAACACAUGCAAGUCGAACGGUAACAGGAAGAAGCUUGCUUCUUUGCUGACGAGUGGCGGACGGGUGAGUAAUGUCUGGGAAACUGCCUGAUGGAGGGGGAUAACUACUGGAAACGGUAGCUAAUACCGCAUAACGUCGCAAGACCAAAGAGGGGGACCUUCGGGCCUCUUGCCAUCGGAUGUGCCCAGAUGGGAUUAGCUAGUAGGUGGGGUAACGGCUCACCUAGGCGACGAUCCCUAGCUGGUCUGAGAGGAUGACCAGCCACACUGGAACUGAGACACGGUCCAGACUCCUACGGGAGGCAGCAGUGGGGAAUAUUGCACAAUGGGCGCAAGCCUGAUGCAGCCAUGCCGCGUGUAUGAAGAAGGCCUUCGGGUUGUAAAGUACUUUCAGCGGGGAGGAAGGGAGUAAAGUUAAUACCUUUGCUCAUUGACGUACCCGCAGAAGAAGCACCGGCUAACUCCGUG
rnacentral:rRNA from 1 species